rnacentral:rRNA from 1 species
UACGGGGGGGGCAAGCGUUGUUCGGAAUUACUGGGCGUAAAGGGCGCGUAGGCGGCCUUCUAAGUCGGACGUGAAAUCCCUCGGCUCAACCGAGGAACUGCGUCCGAUACUGGCAGGCUGGAAUCCGGGAGAGGGAUGUGGAAUUCCAGGUGUAGCGGUGAAAUGCGUAGAUAUCUGGAGGAACACCGGUGGCGAAGGCGGCAUCCUGGACCAAUAUUGACGCUGAGGAGCGAAAGCCAGGGGAGCAAACGGG